rnacentral:tRNA from 1 species
GGCGAGGUAGCUCAGGUGGUUAGAGCGUCGGAUUCAUAACCCGGAGGUCGGGAGUUCAAGUCUCCCUCUCGCUA